rnacentral:rRNA from 1 species
UACGGAGGAUGCAAGCGUUAUCCGGAUUUAUUGGGUUUAGAGGGCGCGUAGGCUGUGCGUCAAGUCAGAGGUGAAAUACCCGGGCUCAACCUGGGAACUGCCUUUGAUACUGUCGCGCUGGAAUACGGAUGCCGUGGGAGGAAUGAGUAGUGUAGUGGUGAAAUGCAUAGAUAUUACUCAGAACACCGAUUGCGAAGGCAUCUCACGAAUCCGUCAUUGACGCUGAGGCACGAAGGCGUGGGGAUCAAAC